CAAAUGAAACAGUUGAAGAGAGAAUCUGUACCAUGCAGUAGAAAGGAGAGCAAAUGGAAAAUUACAAGGUGGCUUGUGCAGCACAAUCUCUCAGCAUGGCAGUGAAUACACAAUGUCCCAGGAGGAAUGGGAUUGAAGAUGACUGGAAUGUUUUGUGGAGUGAUGCGCACUUUAUGCUCUUUGAACAAUCAUAGUUAUCGCGUUUGGGGAUCGUCGCUGCCAACGAACAUUCAUGAAGUUUACCUCCAUAGUGCAUGUGUCACUGUGUGCAGUGGCUUCACACAACAGUUCUUUGAAGAAUUUGGACCCCAAGGACCAAGCAGCAUGAACAGCACACAUUACUGUGAUAUGCUUCGCCAGCAUGUGAUCCCUGCUCUAUGGAAGAGAGGUGCUGUGGACUAGACUGGUUGGAUACAUGAUGGAGUUCCACCUCGCAUUGCUUGGAAGGUCGCUCGGUCACUCCGUGUUUGGAGAAAAUUAAGUCAUUGCCUAAUCAUUCCAAACUUCAUGGCUGUCAAGAUCACCGGAUUUGAACCUGUGUGAUUUCUGGCUGCAGGGUUACCUGAAGGACAGGGUUUAUCAACGGAAUACUUGAGUAUCGGAUCUUCCACCUGGGAUGCACUGUACAAUCAAUCAAGGUAAACCCAGUUGACGAAUGGCCAUGAUAACUGUAUUCAAACAUGUGAAGCAUCUUGGUGAUUGGAGGGCAAAAUCGGAGGAAGAAUGGCUAUGACAUGUACAUAGUUAAACAAGGCAAAACCAACGGAUGAAUGGCCAUGAUGAUUGUAAAUUCAAACAUGUUGUCCAUCUUACUAAUUGGAGGCAAAAUGAGUUGCGGUAAUAAAUACACACGGCCCUGACAACUAUAUGCGAACAAGUAAAUCAUUGUACUUACCGCAAGACAGAACUAUGGACAAAUUGUAGUUAUCGUUCAACUGAACAAAGAAAAACCUGUGGACAAAUGGACAUAAUGACUAAAUUCACACAUUAUCUGAUUUGUUGGAGCACAUGACAUAAUUGUGAUGAAUGUGUGAUUAAAAAAAGAUAACAACAUCGCUUGACUAGAGCGGCCAGCAUGUUCUCCGGACAUGAACCCUAUCGAACAUGCCUGGGAUAGGUUGCAUAGAGCUACUUGUGAACGAUGUGACCCACCAACCACUCUUAGGGGUCUAUGCCGAAUCGCUGUUGAGGAAUGGGACAAUGUGGAUCAACAGUGCCUCGAUGAACUUGUGGGUAGUAUACCACAACAAAUACAAGCAUGAUUCAAUGGAAGAGGAUGUGCUACUGGGUUACUGAUGUGCCCUAAUCAUCAGUAUGUAAUUGCACAAACGUUUAUGAAGAUUCCAUCAAGAAAAGAGCCUGAAAUGAAUGUGCAAAAUGACCAUGGAAAAAUAUAUGGUCCAGUCACAUUAACGUGACCACUGCCUAUGUUUAGCAUCAAUGUGCAAGAACCACUCAGAUGACAGGUGGCAGCACUAGCAGAGGAGGGUGUACAAAGCAUGUCAAAGGCACGCAGAAAACAGUGCAGUCAUUUUCAUAAUGUGAAAACGGAGCAAUGUAUCUGACGUCCAAAGAGGCAUGAUAAUUGACUUUCUGUCCGAGGAUGGAAGCAUUUCUGUAACGGCUAAGUUUGUAAACUGUUUGCAAGUCACUGCUGUUAAUGUAUACCGGCAUUGUAAAUAUGGUGCUCCACGGGCCUUAAAUGGCAGGGAUGAAUGACAGUUUCAGGGAUGUGUGUGGACAAAUAGGUGUGCAAGUAUUGAGCAACUGACUGCCCAGAUGAACUGAGGCAAGCUAACACUGCAUUAUCAAUGAAUUUUCAGUGAAUGUUGCUGCAUAUGAACCUCUGUAGCAGGUGUCUCACACAUGCUGACUGCUAUUCAUCGGGAUGAAGGCUGAAAUUUGCACUACAGUACCAGAACUGGACACGCACUGAUUGGUGCCAGGUGGUUUUUUCAGAUGAAUUGCGUUUUGUGCUCCAUUGGACAGAUGGCUGUUGGUGUGAACAGCACAGCACUAGAGUUGGCAAGGCUCCACAUCUGUAUCAAGAGCUUCCAGAACCUCAUUGACUGUCUUUCUGCAUGUCUCAUCAGCAAUCCUCACUACAGAAGGUGGUUAUUUAGACUUUUGACUUGUGGUCACAUUGAUGUAACUGGACUUUGAAUAUUUGACAUUUAUCUACGAGGGCUGUUUUUUAAGUAAGGGCCGUUUGCGCGUAUAGUCCCGUAGUUUGUGCGGACGCCGCAACAAACCACCGCGCCACUUGCCAGCAUCCUUCCCACUCACACUGAUGCAAGUUGCAGCUCUGUAGCUGACUUGUACGCAUCGCUGUGCUACUUUAUAAUGUUUACGAUUAUUGAAUCGCCCGCCGCGUGAGAGAUACGAUCAGUGAUACGUUUUUUGACCGCGAGAAGCCUAUCAGCUGCAGAAAUUCAUCGUCGGUUAACAGAAGUUUAUGGCUUGAAUGCAGUGAGUGAAGGUAAAGUGCGUCAAUGGGUUAGAGAGUUUAAAAAUGGCCGUCAAAACGUCCAUGACGAAGAACGCUCAGGCCGGCCCUCUGAUCACUGAUGAUUUGGUGGCUGCAGUCGAAACAAAGAUUCGUGAGGACAGAAGAUUCACAAUUUCCACUCUUUCUUUGGAAUUUCCACAAGUUUCAAGAUCGGUUUUGUACAAAAUUGUGUCUGAAAACCUAAACUUUAAGAAACUGUUCUCGGUGGAUACCCAGACUCCUCACAGAGGACCACAAAGGGAAGAGAUUUGCCACUUCAUUGGACUUUUUGAUUCGUUACGAGGAAGAAGGGGAUGACAUGUUGAGUCAAAUUGUCACUGGAGAUGAAACAUGGGUAUCCCAUAUCACUCCCGAAAGCAAGCGACAAUCGAUGGAAUGGCGACACACAACCUCACCCGUCAAGGUCAAAUCCAGACACGCUGUCAAAGCGCAAGAUUAUGGCAACUAUGUUCUGGGACCGGCGCAGUGUUUUGCUAGUGGACUUUAUGCCACGAGGAAUGACAAUCAACUCGGAUGCCUACUGUGCAACUCUAAAGAAGCUCCGCAGAGCAAUUCAAAACAAAAGGCGUGGCAUGCUGACAAAAGGAGUUUUGCUCCUGCGCAAUAAUGCUAGGCCUCACCUCUCAAGACUCGGGAUUUGAUUGAUUCUUUUGGCUGGGAAGUUUUGGACCAUGCACCAGACAGCCCCGACCUUGCUCCUAGCGAUUUUCACCUUUUCCGGUACCUGAAACACCGUCUUGGCGGGCAGUGCUUCAAUGACGACGAGGAAGUGAAAGUGGCCAUGAACUCUUGGCUGUCGGAGCAGGCGGCCGAAUUCUUUGAAGAGGGAAUUAAAAACUUAGUUGUACGGUAUGACAAGUGCUUAAAUAAACAACUAUGUAGAAAAAUAGGUAAAAGCGUGUAGAAUUAGAAAAUAAGUUUUUUUCCAAAAGUAUUUGUAUCUUUUUUAAAAAUAAAAACGGCCCUUAAAAAACAACCCUCGUAUUUAAAUGCUGGUGGAGGAAAACACAGGGUCGAGAAAAUAUAUAUUCUUAUAUUUUGUGUACGCUGCCACUUCAAUUUACAAACCAUAAUAAAUAUUUCAUGU